GACGGAAGGUGCAAGCGUUGCUCGGAAUUACUGGGCGUAAAGAGCUCGUAGGUGGUUUGUCGCGUUGUUCGUGAAAACUCACAGCUCAACUGUGGGCGUGCGGGCGAUACGGGCAGACUAGAGUACUGCAGGGGAGACUGGAAUUCCUGGUGUAGCGGUGGAAUGCGCAGAUAUCAGGAGGAACACCGGUGGCGAAGGCGGAUCUCUGGGCCGAUACUGACGCUGAGGAGCGAAAGCGUGGGGAGCGAACAGG
rnacentral:rRNA from 1 species